rnacentral:rRNA from 1 species
CCGUAGCCCAAGAGAUCGGGAUAACACCUGGAAACAGAUGCUAAUACCGGAUAACAACAGAUGAUGCCUAUCAACUGUUUAAAAGAUGGUUCUGCUAUCACUCUUGGAUGGACCUGCGGUGCAUUAGCUAGUUGGUAGGGUAACGGCCUACCAAGGCGAUGAUGCAUUGCCGAGUUGAGAGACUGAUCGGCCACAUUGGGACUGAGACACGGCCCAAACUCCUACGGGAGGCAGCAGUC